rnacentral:lncRNA from 1 species
AUUUGAAUGUGCAAAUGAGAUUCCCUUGGGUUUCUUUUAAAUGUCUUCAUACUGUUUUCCUAAGUAUAGUCAAGUAAAAGGUGAUAAAAGCUCAGACAACAGAACAAAGGAACCAGGCUGAUUUUGUGCAUACAUUGUAAGGAAUAAACUGCAGGGUUUUUACUGCCCUCUUUCUAAAGAAAGCCCAUUUCAGGAGUCAGGAUGGGUUCGUCCUAGUUUGCAUUUAGAUUUUAUUUUAUUAAUUAUUUGGAUUUUAAAAGGGAACAGCACCCAAAAUCCAAGUUUUGUCAAUAAGUACAGGCAACCAAAUUCUCUUUAAAGUUUUAUCUUUCUUUAAUUUUUUAUAGAGAUGGGAUCUCACAAUGUUGCCCAGGUUGGUCUCAAACUCCUAGCUUCAAGUGAUCGACCUGCCUCAGCCUCCCAAAGUGCUGUGAUACAGACAUGAGCCACACCAUGCCUGGUCGAGGAUGCCAAAUUUACACACCUAAGGCAUUGUGGAAGAAAAAGGACAACGGAGGUGGAGCCAGCAGACAUGCAGCUAAGGCUUCUCAUCGCUGGGAAGCCAGGCAGGAGUUACGUAGAUCCAUUUGCACAAGGAAACUUGCUUAAUGGACUCAGAGGUUUUCUGAGAGUUCUUUCAAAAAGCCCCACUUCAUACCAAAGUACAAGCCAUAUGCAUUUUAUCACGGACGUUGCCUUGAAUAAUGUCCUGAAAGGAAGAACAACAAAUCCUCUGGAUUUGGGAGCAGCUGGACGCCGGAGUUCCUUCUUGUACAAUAAUACACUCAACAUUUAUCAGUCAACUGCAUUUAUUAAUCACCCACUGUGUGUUCAGCGUCUGGUGCUAUGGAGCCUUGGCGAGAAAGACAUUCACGGACUUCAUAGUGUAAUGGAGGAGAAGAAGAAACACAAAUGUGUACAUGUAAACAAGCAGGCCUGGAGAUGUUUAAACACACACACGCAAUCCUGAGCAUCUGUACAAAGACGCAGGUGGAAAAGACAAAAGCAGAAAACAGUGAUCAGACAGGUUGAAUGAUCCAAUGGAAAUUUAAUCUGAUCUCAGCCAUGUGUAAGAAGCAACCUCAUGUGAACUGGAAUUGUAACGCUGGGAAUUAUCUGAUUCCUGCUGGCCUCUUGUCCUUCUCUGCCCUGUAAAUGACUGCUAAGGAAUUUUAAGGCAUGUAAAAUAUGAUAAACAUAGAUUUGUUGACUCAGCCAUUGAACUGGACAUCUCACCUUUUUGCAGGUAAAACUAAAGAGGGGAAUCAUAGAUUGUGGAUUUUAUUUAUAAGGGGAAUGCAUGUAAGUUUAUUCAUGUAAGGUGCUCUUUGAUGCAGUAAUAUCUUAUUUUCCUUUAAACUGGACUUCCAGCUUUGAAUCCAGAUGUAAACGUUGGACAUAACAAAUCAACAACCAAAACAAAGGAAUCUCUGUUAACAAAACAUCUUAGUUGCAAAGACUGAUG